UAGGGAAUCUUCGGCAAUGGACGAAAGUCUGACCGAGCAACGCCGCGUGAGUGAAGAAGGUUUUCGGAUCGUAAAACUCUGUUGUUAGAGAAGAACAAGGACGUUAGUAACUGAACGUCCCCUGACGGUAUCUAACCAGAAAGCCACGGCUAACUACGUGCCAGCAGCCGCGGUAAUACGUAGGUGGCAAGCGUUGUCCGGAUUUAUUGGGCGUAAAGCGAGCGCAGGCGGUUUCUUAAGUCUGAUGUGAAAGCCCCCGGCUCAACCGGGGAGGGUCAUUGGAAACUUGGAGACUUGAGUGCAGAAGAGGAGAGUGGAAUUCCAUGUGUAGCGGUGAAAUGCGUAGAUAUAUGGAGGAACACCAGUGGCGAAGGCGGCUCUCUGGUCUGUAACUGACGCUGAGGCUCGAAAGCGUGGGGAGCAAACAGG
rnacentral:rRNA from 2 species